rnacentral:lncRNA from 1 species
CGACAGUGGCACGAUACGUUAUAUGAGACAUUAUGGGUUUAUCGCACCUCCAAAAGGACUCCCACUGCUACGACUCCUUAUGCACUAAUGUUCGGUCAUGAUGCAGUUUUACCCUUGGAAAUCAACGUUCAUUCCUUACGCGUGCAAGAUCAACAUCACUCGAUAGGUGAAGAUUAUGUCCAGGCGAUGUGGCAAGAACACGAAGACUUGAGCGAGUAGCACUUAGCGGCUUUGGAUAAUUUAGUGAUGGAAAAACAGCGUAUCGCCCGCGCCUACGAUAAAAGGACGCGUGGUCUUAGUUACAAAGAGGGGGACCUUGUUUGGAAAGCUGUUUUGCCCUUUGGCAAGAAGUUGACCGGUCGCGGUAAAUGGACUCCACGCUGGGAAGGACCCUUUGUUGUUCACCGCAUUUUGGAACGCGGGGCUUUUCACCUCAAAGAUUUGGAUGGCGAAAUCCAUCGCAACCCCAUC